AUCGCUUCAGCUUACUGGCCUGAGAAGUCACAGUUGAGUGCGACACUUUAAAAUGCACCAAACGGUAAUGGCGUGCGUGCCUCUCAUCAAACGUGAGUGACAGAGCGGCUGGAUCCCUUGGCCUCGGGAGUCCCAGGAGUCUGUCUGGUAGGAGCUCGGCCCCAAGAACCCUCUCCUCAUGGCACACACUCCACCCCACAGGCUGUUGUCCCCAUGUCCCAAGCCCGCUCCUCCUCCCCUCUUCACACCUCUUCUGGGCCAGAGAUCCAGCUCCACCUCCUUGAUGGCCCUCUCUGCACUGCGACACUCCACGCAGUUCCCAUCCUUUGCCUGCUGCCUGCCUGCUAAUCGGGAUUGGUGGGGAGGAACGAAUCGCUGUGAGCCAUGGCCUUCCUCUGGAGCCUACAGAACUGGGCCAAGGUCACUCACAUCACUCUUACGCUACUGCUGCCCACAGCAAACCGGGAGAAAGAGAAAGUGAGGGAUGCAGGAGUUAAAGGAAACAGAGAUAAGGCUGCUGCUGAGCAGGGCUCCGCAGUCAAAUGAGGUCUCAUAAAUUGAAAAGAACACAAGUCAAUAGCAACGCUGGAGUU